CAUGGGACCAGCAUCUAGAUGCUGUGAUGUUUGGUCUACGGACCAAAAAACAGUCAACCACCAAAUUUUCGCCAUUCUAUAUGAUGUUUGGCAGGGAAGCCAGAUACCCGUCCCAGGUCCCUGAGGAGUACAUGGUAUUUUUUGUUGCAAGUGAUUGCUUUGACUUUUUGAAAUAAUUUGUAUUGAUAUGUAAUACGUUAUGAUAUUGUAUACAAUAUUAUUUUUAAAAGGUGGACAGCAGCGUGGAGAGUGCUGUGGAGAAUGACAGCCCUACAGAGGACAUUAUUAAUAUUAGUGAUGCCCUGCAGGCUGCUCGACACACCACUGCCACAAGCCACAUCAAAAACCAAAAGACCACAAAAUCUAAUUUCAAGGUGGGUGACAAAGUGUGGCGGUUGAAUGUGAGAAGCCAGCAGCGAAAGGGAGGAAAGUUGGAGCCUGACUUCUUGGGGCCUUUCAAAGUCAUAGCUCUACAGGACAAGAGUGCUGAUCUGGAAAGUGAGGGAGGUCGUGUUUUUCCUAAAAUCAACACCGACCACCUGAAAAUACACACCGACAAAAAGGAAAGAAUACCACAUAAGAUCCUCAACUCCACAGGGGUAACCUCAAUCUCUGCCUCGAUCCCUGCCUCCACUCCCACCUCUGCUUCAUCCUCCACCUCUGACUCCACAACCAUCCCUACCUCCACUUCUGCUUCCACCUCUACUCCUGCUUCAACCUUGAGCUACACUGUAUCAGCUACCACUGAUAAAUGUAUGUCUUUCUUUCACUCUACAAUAGUGACAGCUGAUCAAACAGUUUGUCAAUUUGAAUUUAUAGAAAGGCAAUUGUUUUGGCAUUAUUACAAUAUCAGUACUUUUAGCUAAGAAGCAUUGUUUCUUUUAUUUACCUACAUUACAAAUAGGCUUAAUUUCGCUUAGCAACUAAUUUGGUAAUGGCUUGAAUGUAACAGACUUUCAUUACUAUAAAAAAGUUACGCACUAAAGCUUUAAUGAAUGUGCAUUAAAGAAAUAUUCGUAAGUAAUGACAUCUAUUCAUUGCAAUUUAUGUGAUGAAUAUUGCACUAUUCAAUAUGCUGUGCUUAUGUAUUUUGUUAUUUUUCCUAGGUGUGAUGGAUGCAUGGAAAGGAAAGAAUCCAUACAUUCUUCUUUCCAAAGUUGGGCCCUACAAACUGUUUUAUGCAGAUAUAGCAAGAACAGCCCCAAAUAUGCAGUUGGAGAGUGAGAUACAGGGUGUUUACAUAGGGGAUUUAUGCAGUUAUAUAUGCAGAAAACAGAUCCUAUUUGAUAUUGUAUGUCAUUUCAUCUCAGGUUAUUAAUGCCUACUUGGAGCUCCUGGUCAAAGAGCACAAUGGGCGAACAAGGGAAAAGGCAAUUGCUGUCGACACGUUUGCCAUGACUGAUGUUUGGAAUAAUAAAAGCAAACUGCGUGAAGUAUGUGGAGAUUUUACAGUACAUAUAGACUCAAGUAUUUAUUUAUGCAUCUUUGAGUUAGUCCUUCCGAGCGAUGUAUAAAUAUACCUUUUCUACCCAUGUUUUUCUAAUUUUAGCUUGAUCCUGAUGUUCAAAUUAAUCAUUGGCAUUGUCAACAAGAACAACCACUGGAUGUUGAUGGUUAUGCUUCCAUCAGAGAAGAGGUCAUUGUUCCUUGAUCCUCUUGGGGAAAAGGCAAAGGACAUAAAACACUGUCAAGAGCAUUCAUGAGACAAAGGGGACUCAAUAUCUCAAAAUGGUCAUGCACCUCUCUCCCUCACCCUCUGCAAAAAGAUGUGACAUCUUGUGGAGUAUUUGCAUUAAAGUUUGCAGAAUGCAUUUUAAAAGGGCAGAGCAUCUCCUUUGGAUCAUCAAAAAAACACAUUGAGGGACUAAGAAAGGUCAUAGCAACCACUCUACUGGAAAACAGCGGUAUGUUGGUGACAUGCUGGAGUAUUGCAUGGAUAGCUUAUUUUAGUUAAAUUGAUUAUAUAAGUCUUAUAACAAUAACAGAAACCUGAGCUGUUAUGGUUCUUUGAUUUUGUCAGAUGACCUCAGUGAAGUCUGCCACAUCUGUGGUAACGUGGAGGAUGGCCAGGAUGAGACAGUUUCCUGGAUAUCCUGUGACUCAUGUCAUCGGUGGUACCACCAGCGAUGUGCCAAAUGUAUCACUACUGACAGUGACUACAUGUGUGAGGCUUGUAGUGAUUUGGCUGUAGUUUGAAGUUGUGUGUGUGUGUGUGCGUGUGUUUGUGUGUGUGUCAGAACAAGUUCAGCUACAUCGUUGUCUACAUGUUGUGGUCAUUGGAUCGAUGAUGAUCCUUCAUCAGCUGCAUCGAAUGAACUCCAGCAUUUGAUGACACAGUUCAUCACGGUUCAUCUGCCUCUUCUGUUUCUGUGUUUCUUUACAUGUGUGAGCGUAUACAGCAUGCUGUCAUGCAACCACAUUUUUAAAUGUGUGUUGAUUUAUUGGUAUGAGUGACAGGCGGCCUUAUUCUGGCUCUGGGUCACCAUUUGCUUGUUAGUCAAGCCCUCUGGAAGUGUCAGCGAGUCUUCGUCAGCCUCGGACACAUUUUCUUCUUUUGUCCUU